GACGAACUCUUUCUUCGUGCCUAAUACAUGCAAGUAGAACGCUGAAGAGAGGAGCUUCCUCUUCUUGGAUGAGUUGCGCACGGGUGAGUAACGCGUAGGUAACCUGCCUUGUAGCGGGGGAUAACUAUUGGAAACGAUAGCUAAUACCGCAUAACAAUGGAUGACACAUGUCAUUUAUUUGAAAGGGGCAAUUGCUCCACUACAAGAUGGACCUGCGUUGUAUUAGCUAGUAGGUGAGGUAAUGGCUCACCUAGGCGACGAUACAUAGCCGACCUGAGAGGGUGAUCGGCCACACUGGGACUGAGACACGGCCCAGACUCCUACGGGAGGCAGCAGUAGGGAAGCUUCGGCAAUGGGGGCAACCCUGACCGAGCAACGCCGCGUGAGUGAAGAAGGGUUUCGGAUCGUAAAGCUCUGUUGUAAGUCAAGAACGGGUGUGAGAGUGGAAAGUUCACACUGUGACGGUAGCUUACCAGAAAGGGACGGCUAACUACGUG
rnacentral:rRNA from 1 species